AUUGAACGCUGGCGGCAGGCCUAACACAUGCAAGUAGAAAGCGUGGCGGACGGGUGAGUAAUGUAUGGGAAAAUGCCCGAUGGAGGGGGCUAACUCCUGGAAACGGUAGCUAAUACCGCAUACGAUAGGCUGUGACCAGAUAGGAUUAGCUAGUAGGUGGGGGAAAGGCUGACCUAGGCGACGAUCCCCAGCUGGUCUGAGAGGAUGACCAGCCACAAGGGAACUGAGACACAGUCCUGACUCCUACGGGAGGCAGCAGUGGGGAAUAUUGCACAAUGGGCUCAAGCCUGAUGCAGCCAUGCCGCGUGUAUGAAGAAGGCCUUCGGGGUGUAAAGUACUUUCAGCGGGGAGGCGUGACCCGCAGAAGAAGCACCGGCUAACCCCGUGCCAGCAGCCGCGGUAAUUC
rnacentral:rRNA from 1 species